rnacentral:rRNA from 1 species
UACGGAGGGUGCAAGCGUUGUCCGGAAUUACUGGGUGUAAAGGGUCCGUAGGCGGAUCGGUAAGUCAGUGGUUAAAUCCUGCAGCUUAACUGUAGACUAUCCAUUGAUACUGCCGGUCUUGAGUGCGAGAGAGAUGAGUGGAAUUCCAAGUGUAGCGGUGAAAUGCGUAGAGAUUUGGAAGAACACCAGUUGCGAAGGCGGCUCAUUGGCUCGCUACUGACGCUGAGGGACGAAAGCAUGGGGAGCAAACAGG